rnacentral:ncRNA from 1 species
GAAGUUCGAUAGGGGUAAGAAAUGGCGAAUCAACCCGACCCCGAGUCAUGCAUGUUGCGCCAUGAGGUGCAGGGGGAAGCCUCAACAGGGGAAACCUAUGGGCCAGGAAAUGAGCCGGGUAAUCAGGAGUCCGGGAUGCUGAUGCUGUUAUCCGAGUUACUGAGAAGGCGAAUACGACCGUAGUACCUGAGAAACCAUGGAACAACGGGCCUAGUCCUGUGAAGAUGG